rnacentral:rRNA from 1 species
GAUGAACGCUGGCGGCAUGCCUAAUACAUGCAAGUCGAACGAGAGGAAGGAAAGCUUGCUUUUCUGAAUCUAGUGGCGAACGGGUGAGUAACACGUAGGUAACCUGCCCAUGUGCCCGGGAUAACUUCUGGAAACGGAUGCUAAAGCCGGAUAGGUAGCAGACAAGCAUUUGACUGCUAUUAAAGUGGCUAAGGCCAUGAACAUGGAUGGACCUGCGGUGCAUUAGCUAGUUGGUGAGGUAACGGCCCACCAAGGCGACGAUGCAUAGCCGGCCUGAGAGGGCGGACGGCCACAUUGGGAGUGAGACACGGCGCAAACUCCUACGGGAGGCAGGAGUAGGGAAUUUUCGUCAAGGGGGGGAGCCCGGAACGAGCAAUGCCGCGUGAGUGAGGAAGGUCUUCGGAUCGUAAAGCUCUGUUGUAAGAGAAAAACGACAUUCAUAGGGAAUGAUGAGUGAGUGAUGGUAUCUUACCAGAAAGUCACGGCUAACUACGUGCCAGCCGCCGCGGUAA